GAUGAACGCUGGCGGCAGGCCUAACACAUGCAAGUCGAACGCUGUAGCAAUACAGAGUGGCAGACGGGUGAGUAACGCGUGGGAACAUGCCCUUCGGUUCGGAAUAACUCAGGGAAACUUGAGCUAACACCGGAUACGCCCUUAGGGGGAAAGAUUUAUUGCCGAAGGAUUGGCCCGCGUCCGAUUAGCUAGUUGGUGAGGUAAUGGCUCACCAAGGCGCCGAUCGGUAGCUGGUCUGAGAGGAUGAUCAGCCACACUGGGACUGAGACACGGCACAGACUCUUACGGGCGGCAGCAGGGGGGAAUAUUGGACGAUGGGCGCAUGCGUGUUCCAGCCAUGCCGCGUGAGCGAUAAAGGCCCUAGGGUUGUAAAGCUCUUUCGCCAGGUGCGAUAAUGACGGUACCUGGAUAACAAGCCCCGGCUAACUUCGUGCCAGAAGCCGCCGUAACAC
rnacentral:rRNA from 1 species